GUGCCCACUUCGGCAUAACACGUACUAAAACCUGAAGGAUACAGAGCAGAUUAGCAUGGCCCCUGUGCAAGGAUGACACGCAAAUUCGUGAAGCAUUCCAUUUUUUU
rnacentral:snRNA from 1 species